CCCCCGCCCCGCUCCCCUGUCUGGUGGGGUGGGAGACCGGUGGCUCCUCCCGCCGAGCUGAGAGCCACGUAGGGCACCCCUAUGCGCUCCCUACGCAUCUGGGAUGGCACCCCUGCCCUGAGGGCCCCGCAGAGUCCCACCCUUCCUGCAACCAGCCCCUCCAAAGCCAUUAAACCACCCACAAAUCCAGCCCCAACGCCCCCACAGGCCCCAAAACGCCUCCGAGCCCUGCCGCAAUGUUGUCACUGACUCCAGACCUUCGCCUGCACUCUGUCCAAGGCCCCAAACAUUCCUCAGACUGCUGCCAGACCCAGUCCCCGCAGCAGUGAGGCGUUCUAACAAAGAUGGGGUGCGAUCUGCAUCUCCGCCUCGACUCGGUCCCGCUUUAGAGAAACAGGAACUUAGAGCACUUCCUGGUGAAGAGUGUUGACGGGUGGAUGCGCAGAUGACAAAGAGAUUUUUCUCUCUUUUCUUCUGAGCCGCCUCUGAGAAGCCUCUGUAUGUGCACGAUGUGGCUGAUCUGGGAUAAUCGUGCUGUGCGCAGUGCUUAAGGAGAACAUUGCCCUAAAAUGGCGGGCUAAGGAAUAGCCUAAAAAACCUAAAAGGCUCGGGAAAAGCUCAAGAGAACACCGAUGGGCUCUGGGAAGCCCCAGUGAUGCUAGCGAAAACAGCGUGGCUUUUAGGCACCUCCUCAGAGCAGCAGCAAUGUCUCGCUCCAGCCUAUGGGACAAUGGGGACUCUUAAUUACCGCCUUGAAUUACCACAAGUGUUGCGAAAGCAGAAGGGACUAGGGAGCAUGCAGAGCAGGUUGUGGACUAUAUGUCAAGUUUAAACAAGCAACAAGCCCCUCUGCAAAUAGAAACAGGUUUAGCCCGAAGUAAUAGACGAAGGUAGCUGUGAGUAACGUGAAGCGAAGCGGUGACGUCGGUCACCCCGAAAGCCUCGGAGAAGCGGUCUGAAAAUCUGGUACCCUCGCGGCCUCGGCAGUCUUUUUGGUUUGUUUGGCAGGGCAGCCCACCGAAGGGGGACAUCUCGAAGAGAAGCAGCAAGACCUGGGGAUCCGGUGGUUCAUUUUGGUCAUCGCCUGUGAGGCCAGCGUCCGAGCGUAAGAGGAAGCUAGGAGCUGUGUCGAAAAGAGAUGGAACCAAGGACAGCAAAUGCUGACGAAGAGAAGAGACGGACAAGCGUUUUCUUGUGGUUAAUACCGAAGGGACGGGAUGAAACAAGGAAGCCAGAAUGCAGCGGCCCCUCGAUAUCACCAGGAACUGCUGCAGGAGGAGGCGUUCUGGCACGGGUAACUAAGGCAGCUACGGAAAGGAAUAGAUGUCAUCCUUACUUUUUUAGAUUAAUUGCCACGGCUGAAGUUGAAGAGACCAAGAAAGGUACGCACCGAAAGGGCACAUCUUGAAGAGAGGCGGCUAGACCUAGCGAUCCAGUUGUUCGUUUUGGUCGUCGCCUGUGAGGCCAGCGUCCGAGCGUAAGAGGAAGCUAGGAGCUGUCUCAAAAAGAGAUGGAACCAAGGACAGCAAAUGCUGACGAAGAGAAGAGACGGACAAG